rnacentral:rRNA from 1 species
AGUGAACGCUGGCGGUAGGCCUAACACAUGCAAGUCGAACGGCAGCACAGGAGAGCUUGCUCUCUGGGUGGCGAGUGGCGGACGGGUGAGGAAUACAUCGGAAUCUACUCUGUCGUGGGGGAUAACGUAGGGAAACUUACGCUAAUACCGCAUACGACCUACGGGUGAAAGCAGGGGACCUUCGGGCCUUGCGCGAUUGAAUGAGCCGAUGUCGGAUUAGCUAGUUGGCGGGGUAAAGGCCCACCAAGGCGACGAUCCGUAGCUGGUCUGAGAGGAUGAUCAGCCACACUGGAACUGAGACACGGUCCAGACUCCUACGGGGGGCAGCAGUGGGGAAUAUUGGACAAUGGGCGCAAGCCUGAUCCAGCCAUACCGCGUGGGUGAAGAAGGCCUUCGGGUUGUAAAGCCCUUUUGUUGGGAAAGAAAUCCAGCGGGCUAAUACCCGGUUGGGAUGACGGUACCCAAAGAAUAAGCACCGGCUAACUUCGUGCCAGCCGCCGCAGUAA